GGCUUCAUGGUCUAGUGGUAUGAUUCCUGCUUUGGGUAUUCCAAACACACAAUAUGCAGGAGGUGAGUCAUUAUUCCCAACUAUCUGCGAUGGACCAAUCAGCUAACGAGCCUUCCAGGCCCCGCGUUCGAAUCGCGGUGGAGCCC